CCCUUAGAUGUUCUGGGCCGCACGCGCGCUACACUGACGAAUGCAACGAGCUUAUAACCUUGGCCGAAAGGUCUGGGUAAUCUCCAAAUUUCGUCGUGAUGGGGAUAGAUUAUUGCAAUUAUUAAUCUUCAACGAGGAAUGCCCAGUAAGCGCAAGUCAUCAGCUUGCGUUGAUUACGUCCCUGCCCUUUGUACACACCGCCCGUCGCUCCUACCGAUUGAAUGGUCCGGUGAAGCGCUCGGACCGCGGCCUCUUGACGGUUCGCUGUCGAUUGGCUGUGGGAAGUUCGUUAAACCUUAUCAUUUAGAGGAAGGAGAAGUCGUAACA
rnacentral:rRNA from 1 species